rnacentral:lncRNA from 10 species
GCACGAUCUCUGCUCACUGCAAGCUCUGCCUCCCGGGAUCAUGCCAUUCUCCUACCUGAGCCUUCCGAGUAGCUGGGACUACAGGCGCCCACCUCCACAGUGGCACAUGUACAUGAAAUAGAAAAUACCUUCUGAAUGCAAUUAACUGCUCAUGAACUACCAUGAAAUUUGGGACAUAGCUACCUUGUUGGCUAAAAUGAGAAAAGAAUGAUUAUUUGUUCUCAGAUGAGAAACGUCAACAUCUGAAACUCUCCAGUGUUUUGCUCGGUAUCUCUUCUUCCUCGAUAAUAUCAACAAGGCCAAAGGAUGGAAGAAUGGACAAAUAGGCAAACAGACACAGAUAGACACACACACAAUUUCUUAAUUAGUUUUUAUUUAUUUUUUAAAUUUUAUUGCAUGUCC